UACGUAGGGUGCGAGCGUUGUCCGGAAUUACUGGGCGUAAAGAGCUCGUAGGCGGUUUGUCACGUCGUCUGUGAAAUCCCUCGGCUUAACCGGGGGCGUGCAGGCGAUACGGGCAGACUUGAGUACUACAGGGGAGACUGGAAUUCCUGGUGUAGCGGUGAAAUGCGCAGAUAUCAGGAGGAACACCGGUGGCGAAGGCGGGUCUCUGGGUAGUAACUGACGCUGAGGAGCGAAAGCAUGGGUAGCGAAC
rnacentral:rRNA from 3 species